AGCAGCCGCGGUAAUUCCAGCUCCAAUAGCGUAUAUUAAAGUUGCUGCAGUUAAAAAGCUCGUAGUUGAAUUUCGGGACCAUCAUGUCGGUCGUGCCUCGGUACGUACUGGUAUUGUUGGUUUCUCCCUUCUGACGAGCCAUGAUGUCAUUUAUUUGGUGUUGUGGGGAAUCAGGACUGUUACUUUGAAAAAAUUAGAGUGUUUAAAGCAGGCUCACGCUUGAAUACAUUAGCAUGGAAUAAUGAAAUAGGACGUUUGAUUCUAUUUUGUUGGUUUCUAGGAUCGACGUAAUGAUUGAUAGGGAUAGUUGGGGGCAUUAGUAUUCAAUUGUCAGAGGUGAAAUUCUUGGAUUUAUUGAAGACUAACUACUGCGAAAGCAUUUGCCAAGGAUGUUUUCAUUAAUCAAGAACGAAAGUUAGGGGAUCGAAGACGAUCAGAUACCGUCGUAGU
rnacentral:rRNA from 1 species